rfam:Neotoma lepida isolate 417 scaffold_15, whole genome shotgun sequence.
CUUUCUCUUCUCCUGCCCGGAGACUGUUCAGGUGGGUGAGCAUAUGGUAUAAAUGUCUUUCAAAACACAACUGAAAUCUCCUCCCUCCGUCUCUUUCACCGCAGCCGCCUUGGCGCUUUAUGGCAAAUUGACGG